rnacentral:RNase_P_RNA from 1 species
UAGGGCAAACGGGCAAUCGUCCCGGCACAUGCCGGGGAGGAAAGUCCGGACAUCAUAAAAGGUUAGUGGAUAACGUCCACCUGGAGCAAUCCAAGGGAAAGUGCCACAGAGACAAUACUAGUCAUUGCUUCGCAAUGGAAUUUUCAAUUUUCAAUAAAAGAAAGAUUAUUGAAAGUUGCAUUGCGGAGCAUUGGCAAAAGGUGAAAAGUUGUAUGAUGCUUAAGUUGUAUUAGGGAUAUCCUUACAACGUAAGCUACAUAUUUUCCUCGCUGGCGACAGCGAACGAUGGUAAACCCUAACUGAUGCAAGGCCGUGUCCCGCAGUAUUGCGGGAAGUGCCGCUUGAUUCCGGGAGCAAUCUCGGGACUAGAUAAAUGAUUGCCUCCCAUCUUGCAAGACUGCAGGGCGGGAACAGAAUCCGGCUUAUAGUUUGCCCUAAAAU